UUUCAGAUAGUCUCCCUUAACCAGACCAUCCAUACGCUGCGGAGCGGAAUAUGGUCUGGCUAGUCCACACAGCAUUCCUGGAUGUGAGAAAAACCUGCUCCUGUUUAUUGGCUCUUUUUUUUUUUAAAC